AUAACAUUCGGAUUGUCGGUAUACCGAGCAAUAUCACCCGCUCGGUGCAAAAACUUCCCACUGUCUG
rnacentral:pre_miRNA from 1 species